AUGGUGGGCAGCACACUCUCCUUGCAAUUUCAAACAGAACCUAAAAAGUUUAUAGUUAUCCCAAAUUGAUUUUAAAAGAUUGGAAUGCGAAACCAUAUUCAAAGAGGACUCGAUUGAGUCAUCUUUUAUUUAUUUGAGUUAAUUUUUGUUAUUAGGUUUUAUUGAGUUGUUUAAGUUUGAGAGUUUUUCUAAUUUUGAAAAUUAUUUUUUUUAUUAAUUUGUUUUACAGUUUUUUUUUUU
rnacentral:lncRNA from 1 species